rnacentral:tRNA from 1 species
UAAUGUGUAGCCCAAUGGUUAGGAUUAUUGCCUUCCAAGCAAUAGACCCGUGUUCGAACCCCGGCAAAUGUA